CACCGCCACCAUGGCCUAAUUCUCUGCGGGUGAACACUCGCCUGACCUGUACAAAAAAUCUCACCUCCAGGACAACUAAGAUAUUGAAUUGAGUAGUCCAGUGGCUUCCAGCCACAAGGGGUCAUGAGAUUCAUCUGAGGGGUCACAAGAUGAUUACUGAGUUCAACCAACAAGUUUCCACUGCCACCUUCAAAAGUGUCUGUCCUUAAGGCUGAGGUAGUAGAUUGAAUAGUUGUGGGGUUUGUGUCCUCCCUAUGAGAUAACUAUACAAUCUACUGUCUUUCCUAAGGAGACAGGUUGAUCUGCUGUGAAGAUGAAGCCUGUAUGCACAUGGAAAGCUCCGUGGAUAGAAGGAACUCAGAUACAUGGACUAAAGUAGAUUUAAGAGAUAACCUGUCACUCAUCUCUCCAAGAGAAGAAUGCAGAUACAACAAAGAUGUCAUUUAUUUACCAGAUACAAUAAUAGAUCUGGUCUAUUCUCACAACAUGUAUUAAAGUUGGUACAUAUUGGGUAAAGUCUUGUUUUAAAAGAUAUUUAUUGGUGCCUGAAGUUGAGCCUAGCAAGGUGAGGUAGUAGGUUGUAUAGUUUGUGGGAUGGAGUAAAUCCUACUCAGGUGAUAACUAUACAGUCUAUUACCUUCCUUGAGAGGUACAAUGAGUGCUUGGGAUGAAGCUCACUUACACUGACCGGAGCCACUCUGACACCAUCUUGUGGCCAAAGACUAUCAACACUCUGGAAAUUGAAAUUGAAAAAAAGCUUUGGGAGCUCUAUUGCGUGCAUCAAAAAACAUCCACGUUUAAGUAACCACUAGCUGGCAGAGUUAGGAGAAACUCCAAUAAAUAUGGGGUGUGUCAAUCCUAAAGUCAGAACUCCUAAGUUUUGUACUCAGAGAAGUUGGAGGCAGUCCAAAUGAUUCCUAAGUAACUAAGACCUCCUCACAGUCAGUAAUGUGCUGAAGGUAAUGCUUCUCAUUGCAUCAGUGACUUGUAAAAACAAAAGCCACUUAAUGCGGAUUCAAUGAGAUCACCAACAAAGCAGAGCAAUCCAAUAACAUUGGAGAUGACGGUGCACAGCUCUAUGGUACUUGGACACCUUGAUAAACUCAGCCUCAGCCUUGAGACAGAACAAUUCAUCAGUCUGUCAGUUCUGCAACUGCAAUAAAUACACAAAUGAAAGUAAUAUCAUUGCCAUGGCUAGAUUACCCAGUAAAAUCUGUGCUACUCCUACCCAACAACAAUGAAGAAUGACAAUUUGUUUUGUCAGUUGACAUGCUGAUUUUUGAUGCAAGAUACAACAUACUUAACUAGUCAGUAUUGUACUUUGUUUCAUGUAUGACAUUUGUGGCACAGUUGGGAAAACAUCUGAAUUAUCUUUUUAUUAAAUGUAUCCACUUAUGUGCUACAUCUAUCAAUUUAUUUACUAUUGCCAACACACUAUUGUAUUUCCAGCAUGUCUUAUCAGUUUAUAACUUAAAUUAUUGCUCAUUUUAAACAGUCUGAUUUUAUUUUACUCUCUCGUUGCAGAUGGUAAUUGGCUGAAACAUUUUAAUCCUGAUUAUAUCAUGUUAUAUCAUUAUAUUGUAUCAAGUCACGUGACACUUUGUUUCUGAAAAGUGCUGUAUUAAUAAAGU